AGCCUUUGUUGUCUCUGUUUUUCAAGAAAAUAGUGAUUCUAUAGUGGUUAUUCCACCUAUUUAGUGAGUAUUAUGAAGUUUUACUAAAUUAAUUGAUAAAAUAUUUAUAAAGAUUCACAUAUACCAUGAAAGAGAGUUUAACAUACAUUAAUACAAAUGUAUAAUGUGGUUAGAAAUUUUAAAACAACACUAAAAAGUUUAGGCUUCAGUAUAUAGAGCGUUUAACGUAAAACUCAAUAUUUCGUAUGGUUUUAUACAUAGAUUUUGAAAAAAUUCAAAAAUAUAACUAUAUUGUUUAAUGCAUAGUUACAUCCUAAAUAACAUAUGAUGAUGGUCAAAGAGGCUUGGAACCUUUGUUGUCUAUGUUUCUCUAGAAAAUUGCGAUUUUAUAACGGGUAGUCUACUAAUUUUGAGAUUACAUGAAGUUUUACAAAAUUAAUUGAUAUAAAAUUAUAAAGAUGCCCAUGUACCAUGAAAUUGAGUUUAAAUAACCUUAAUACAAAUUUAGAAUGUGGUUACAAAUUUUAAAAUAACGUUAAAGAUUAUAGGCUUCAGUAUAUAAAGCAUUUACCAAAAACUCAAUAUUUUCGUAGGGGUUAACGCAUAGACUUUGAGAAAAUUUCAACAUUUUUGACAAUAUUGUUUUAAU
rnacentral:lncRNA from 1 species